UGCUCUAUGACGUGUAGUCUGAAGUACAAGUUAUCCUGUCCCCCUGGCAACUGCACAGUCAGAGAGAGGUGUUAGUGAGGGACGACUAGAUACCGAAACAAAUUGGGCAAACAUGCAGAUCUUUGUGAAGACUCUCACUGGCAAGACCAUCACCCUUGAGGUCGAGCCCAGUGACACCAUUGAGAAUGUCAAAGCUAAGAUCCAGGA